GGUCUUACUCAUGGACACUGUCUAGCCCUCAGGAUGGUUACAAACAGAGCAGGGCAAUUACUAUUAUCUAGCUCACAGAGCUAAAAGAUCAUUAAAGCACUGCAUCAGGCCUUUCAUUUAGGGAGGGAUAGAACUUAUCAAAUGGCCCAAAGGAUGUUUACCAGGAAAAAUUUGUUAAGGACAGUUCAGCAAGUAGUAUCAGCUUGUGAAGUAUGUCUUAGAAACAAUCCUCUCAACCACAAACUUGCUCUCCUAGGCAAUCAAGGAACUGGAGGCUAUCCAGGGAAGACUGACAAUUAGGUUUCACUCAUACGCCAAGGUCAAAGGAAUUCCAACAUCUGUUGCCAGCCUGCCUGUAGAACCAUGCAGUGGGCCACAUCAACCAACCCUUGGGUAGACUCUAACUGCCGUACCCCCACACUGUCCCUUAUCAGCUUGAAGAAGCCAGAACAGUCAUCAUCCCUGUUCCCUAAGUAAAGUGGAUUCACCACAGCAGAGUGAAGCUGGCAUCUUUAAACUGGGAGUGCAUUCCUGAUCCAUCAACGCCGUGCACGCUAACCAUAUGGAAGAAGCAUUCUGCAACUCCAGAGGCUCCAGGAGACUGCAGCCCUGCUUUAGUCACUCCGGAAGCUGACUAAUCUACGCACGGCAGAAGCUUGAGGAAUCGGUGGUACGGAGGAACAAACAGACUGUCCUUCUUGUCUGUAUCUGUUUCCUUAAUGUGAUGCGCUAUUACCCCUUG